CCACAUAUAACAAUAAUUACUUCUCAACUUCUAGUAAAUGCCGUCAAAAGCUGUCGUACCUCAUAUUGAUACUUACACAAAUGUUCCUACCCCUCAAUGUGAAAGGCUAGCAAUCAAACCUUAUGCUGAGUCCAACCUAAUCGACUUACCCCUUAUCACCAAAAGGCCAGCGGUCAUACCUGAUGAUGAGUCUGACCUACUUGAACCUACCCUACAUUGCCAUUAGCGCGGUCAGACAUGUCAAGUCUCGCUUGCUUAAACCUAUUUGCCAUAUCCAAAGGCAUUUUGUGAAACUUCAUGCCUUCGAGGACCUAUCUCCCAUACCCAGGGCCCGACGGUUAGACCUCAUAUCGAAUCUCACCCACAUGGACCUAUCUCCAAUGCCUAGACCUCAUGUUUAGUCUCACCUGCCUGGACCUCUCUCCCAAAUGCUGGUGGUCAAACCUCAUGUUGAGUUUCACUUGCCGAGAC
rnacentral:lncRNA from 1 species